rnacentral:tRNA from 1 species
GGGGAUGUAGCUCAGCGGGAGAGCGCUUGAUUUGCAUGCAAGAGGCCCUGGGGUCAACCCCCAGCAUCUCCA